AAGGAUUUAAGUUAAGGGACAAACUAACAACCUUCAAAGUUGUAAAUAGAGAAAAGGCUCUAAGCCUUG
rnacentral:tRNA from 1 species